rnacentral:piRNA from 1 species
UUUUUUUAGAGAUUUUGAUGU